GCAUAUCAUAGCUGGAGGGAAAAAAGAACUAACAAGGAUUCCCCUAGUAACUGCGAGUGAAGAGGGAAAAGCUCAAAUUUAAAAUCUGGCAGCCUCGCUGUCCGAGUUGUAAUUUAGAGAAGUGUUACCCGCGCUGGACCGUGUAUAAGUCUCCUGGAAUGGAGCGUCAUAGAGGGUGAGAAUCCCCGUCUUUGACACGGACUACCAGGGCAUUGUGGUGCGCUCUCGAAGAGUCGAGUUGUUUGGGAAUGCAGCUCUAAAUGGGUGGUAAAUUCCAUCUAAAGCUAAAUAUUGGCGAGAGACCGAUAGCGAACAAGUACCGUGAGGGAAAGAUGAAAAGAACUUUGGAAAGAGAGUUAAACAGUACGUGAAAUUGCUGAAAGGGAAACGCUUGAAGUCAGUCGCGUUAACCGGGGAUCAGCCUUGCCUUUGGGUGAGGUGUACUUCCUGAUUGACGGGUCAGCAUCAGUUUUGACCACUGGAGAAAGGCUUGGGGAAUGUGGCACCUUCGGGUGUGUUAUAGCCCCUUGUCGUAUACAGUGGUUGGGACUGAGGAACUCAGCACGCCGCAAGGCCGGGUUUCGACCACGUUCGUGCUUAGGAUGCUGGCAAAAUGGCUUUAAUCGACCCGUCUUGAAACACGGACCAAGGAGUCUAACAUGCUUGCGAGUGUUUGGGUGGAAAACCCGAGCGCGUAAUGAAAGUGAAAGUUGGGAUCUCUGUCGUGGAGAGCACCGACGCCCGGACCUGAUGUUUACUGACGGAUCUGCGGUAGAGCACGUAUGUUGGGACCCGAAAGAUGGUGAACUAUGCCUGAAUAGGGCGAAGCCAGAGGAAACUCUGGUGGAGGCUCGUAGCGAUUCUGACGUGCAAAUCGAUCGUCGAAUUUGGGUAUAGGGUGGCGUAAAGACUAAUCGUACCCCAUCUAGUAGCUGGGUUCCUGACGA
rnacentral:rRNA from 1 species